GUGCGAGCCGCCGCGGUAAUACCGGCAGCCCAAGUGAUGGCCGAUCUUAUUGGGCCUAAAGCGUCCGUAGCUGGCCGCGCAAGUCCAUCGGAAAAUCCACCCGCCCAACGAGUGGGCGUCCGACGGAAACUGCACAGCUUGGGACCGGAAGGCUCGAAGGGUACGUUCGGGGUAGGAGUGAAAUCCCAUAAUCCCGCACGGACCACCGAUGGCGAAAGCACUUCGAGAAAACGGAUCCGACAGUGAGGGACGAAAGCCAGGGUCUCCAACCGGAUUAGAAACCCCAGUAGUCC
rnacentral:rRNA from 1 species